rnacentral:rRNA from 1 species
UACGUAGGGUGCAAGCGUUAUCCGGAAUUAUUGGGCGUAAAGAGCUCGUAGGCGGUCUGUUGCGUCCGCUGUGAAAACUCAGGGCUUAACCCCGAGCCUGCAGUGGAUACGGGCAGACUAGAGGUAGGUAGGGGAGAAUGGAAUUCCCGGUGUAGCGGUGAAAUGCGCAGAUAUCGGGAGGAACACCGGUGGCGAAGGCGGUUCUCUGGGCCUUACCUGACGCUGAGGAGCGAAAGCGUGGGGAGCGAACAGG